UCCGAUCACCGAAGCUAAACAACGUUGGGCCCGGGUAGUACUUGGAAGGGAGACCGCCUGGGAACAGUGGGUGUUGAUGGCA
rnacentral:rRNA from 1 species